GCGCAUACCUGGUAGGGGAAUCCAUGGUCGUGAAGGUGGUUUUCCCAGGGCGAGGCUCCUCCCUGCACCCUGGGUGCGCUGACCCCCACAAUUUCCCCAAAUGUGGGAGGCUCAAUCGUGUAAUUUGUGGUAGUGGGGGAGUGUGUUCUUGCUCUCCCCUG